UACGGAGGGGGCUAGCGUUGUUCGGAAUUACUGGGCGUAAAGCGCACGUAGGCGGCUUUGUAAGUUAGAGGUGAAAGCCCAGGGCUUAACCCUGGAAUUGCCUUUAAGACUGCAUCGCUAGAAUCGUGGAGAGGUGAGUGGAAUUCCGAGUGUAGAGGUGAAAUGCGUAGAUAUCGGGAGGAACACCUGUGGCGAAAGCGGCUCACUGGACCAUUACUGACGCUGAUGCACGAAAGCUAGGGGAGCAAACAGG
rnacentral:rRNA from 1 species